GACAAUACUGACGCUGAGAUGCGAAGCGUGGGAGCAAACAGGAUUAGAUACCUGGUAGUCACGCUGUAAACGAUGUCGAUUUGGAGUUUGGGGGCAUGACCCUUGGGCUCCGGAGCUAACGCGUUAAAUCGACCGCUGGGGAGUACGGCCGCAAGGUUAAAACUCAAAUGAAUUGACGGGGGCCCGCACAAGCGGUGGAGCAUGUGGUUUAAUUCGAUGCAACGCGAAGAACCUUACCUGGUCUUGACAUCCAUAGAAUCUUUCAGAGAUGAGAGAGUGCCUUCGGGAGCUAUGAGACAGGUGCUGCAUGGCUGUCGUCAGCUCGUGUUGUGAAAUGUUGGGUUAAGUCCCGCAACGAGCGCAACCCCUAUCCUUUGUUGCCAGCACGUAAUGGUGGGAACUCAAAGGAGACUGCCGUUGAUAAAGCGGAGGAAGGUGGGGACGACGUCAAGUCAUCAUGGCCCUUACGACCAGGGCUACACACGUGCUACAAUGGCGUAUACAAAGGGAUGCGAAGGUGCGAACUGGAGCGGACCUCACAAAGUACGUCUAAGUCCGGAUUGGAGUCUGCAACUCGACUCCAUGAAGUCGGAAUCGCUAGUAAUCGUGAAUCAGAAUGUCACGGUGAAUACGUUCCCGGGCCUUGUACACACCGCCCGUCACACCAUGGGAGUGGGUUGCACCAGAAGUAGAUAGCUUAACCUUCGGGAGGGCGUUUACCACGGUGUGGUUCAUGACUGGGGUGAAGUCGUAACAAGGUAACCA
rnacentral:rRNA from 1 species